UACGAAGGGGGCUAGCGUUGCUCGGAAUUACUGGGCGUAAAGCGCACGUAGGCGGUCUUUUAAGUCGGUGGUGAAAUCCUGGAGCUCAACUCCAGAACUGCCUUCGAUACUGGAAGACUUGAGUCCGGGAGAGGUGAGUGGAACUGCGAGUGUAGAGGUGAAAUUCGUAGAUAUUCGCAAGAACACCGGUGGCGAAGGCGGCUCACUGGCCCGGUACUGACGCUGAGGUGCGAAAGCGUGGGGAGCAAACAGG
rnacentral:rRNA from 1 species